rnacentral:lncRNA from 1 species
AAAAGUAUUUGACAAGCAGAUUGGAAUUAGAACUUUUAAGUUGAAGUGUUUUGUGCCUCUGCUGAGAGUAAAAGAUACUGAAGGAGCCUGGAUGUCUUGUCCUCUUGCUUAACAAACAUAGGAGAGGCAUCGUUCUCGUGCCUAGGUGAGCUGCCAUUCUGCUUGUUAGAGGUAGGUCAACUCUCAUUCUGCCUCACAGCCAUGAGUCAUACCUUUACAUUUUAGUGUCAGAAAAUGUCCCCACAAGUCCAUAAAGGUGAAAGUUUUGCCAGUAUCACUUGGUUCUGGACAUUUUUGUCUGUUUCCCACUAACUGCUCCCUUAUCUAUUAUUCGUAACUCUUACUUGGUCUGUGUAUAAGCCACUAGUUUUAAGUGAAAACUACAAAUAUCCUCCUCCCUCACAUGUUCUGCCUUUCAUUUUCUUAUGUUGAACAAGUUAAAUUUUAAUUUAUUACAAUUUAUCAAAAUACUUUUCAAAAUUGGUACUUGUGUCCUGUCUAGUAAAACGUUUCUACUGUAAGGUAGUGGAGCUAUGUCCCUGUUACGUUCUGACAGUAUUGUAUUUCUAUCAUCACAGGGAAAUAGAGCUUAUUUCAAUAUAUGUAGAUACUAUGUUGUAUUUUACUCCUACAUCAUAAUUAGCAGUCCACAAAGUAUUUAUUUCUGUGUAUGCAGGAAGGAAUAAACAUUAAUACUGGCAUUCUAGUAAGUAACACAUUCAAAAGUAUCUCUUUUACAAUUCAGUGUUGAAAAUCAAAGUACCAAAUAUACGUAGGUAUACUUGAAUUCCACUUAACAUAUUUUUCUAUUUCAUUGCCAAUGUCGAUUGUCCAUUAUUGCUAAUAAACAGAAUCCAUAUUGGGUGACUUCAAGCAAUUAAUUCACGGACUCCUCUAGACUGACUGGACUCAGAUAAAUUAUUAUUAUCCUGGAUAAAGGAAGCUAAAAUUUAGGAUAAGCAAAGGCUCCAGGAGGCUGGAUAUCAAGGAUGGCUACUUCAUUACCACAUCUGCUCUUAACAGCUAGAACAGUCCGAGUCUGAGUAGGUCGGUAUCCCUAUCUCUUAGGAUGGUCUCUACAUGGCUAAUAGGACCAUCUCUGUUAAACUGUGCACAUGGACCUACCUUUGCUUUAGACUUUUGAGCCUGUUUAUCAUAAGUACUUAAAAUACUCACUAUAUGCCUCUUUAGAUGAUCGUUUUGUCUCUUCUAGCUGCAUUUAUCAGCAUUCUUUUAUGUCUCUUAGAUUUU